rnacentral:rRNA from 1 species
GAUUAACGCUGGCGGCAUGCCUUAUGCAUGCAAGUAAAACGGGUCAGUAGCAAUACUGACAAGUUGCGAACGGCUGAGUAUAUGACAGGAAUCUCCCCAAUGGUGUGGAAUACCCCAUCGAAAGAUGGGCUAAUACCGCAUGACCCCGCAAGGGAAAAGCGCUUUACCGCGCGCCGAUGGAUGAGCCUAUCUCCCAUCAGGUAGUUGGUAGGGUAAUUGCCUACCAAGCCUAUGACGGGUACCCGCCCUGAGAGGGGAAACGGGCAGAAUGGGACUGAGACACGGCCCAUACACCUACGGGAGGCAGCAGUGGGGAAUAUUGGACAAUGGGCGCAAGCCUGAUCCAGCCAUGCCGCGUGAGUGAUGAAGGCCCUAGGGUUGUAAAGCUCUUUCACCGGUGAAGAUAAUGACGGUAACCGGAGAAGAAGCCCCGGCUAACUUCGUGCCAGCCGCCGCUGUAA